rnacentral:rRNA from 1 species
UUUAUGGAGAGUUUGAUCCUGGCUCAGGACGAACGCUGGCGGCGUGCCUAAUACAUGCAAGUCGAGCGAGGCCUUCGGGCCUAGCGGCGGACGGGUGAGUAACACGUGGGUAACCUGCCUGUAAGACUGGGAUAACUUCGGGAAACCGAAGCUAAUACCGGAUAACAUUUUUGGUUGCAUGACCGAAAAUUGAAAGGUGGCUUUUAGCUAUCACUUACAGAUGGACCCGCGGCGCAUUAGCUAGUUGGUGAGGUAACGGCUCACCAAGGCAACGAUGCGUAGCCGACCUGAGAGGGUGAUCGGCCACACUGGGACUGAGACACGGCCCAGACUCCUACGGGAGGCAGCAGUAGGGAAUCUUCCGCAAUGGACGAAAGUCUGACGGAGCAACGCCGCGUGAGUGAAGAAGGUUUUCGGAUCGU